UUCUAAAGAUGUUAUUUCUUAUUUUUAUGGAUAUGCAGUUGUAGAAUAUAAUGGUUUACUUGAUGGAGCUCAUUAUU
rnacentral:RNase_MRP_RNA from 1 species